UACGGAGGGGGCGAGCGUUAUUCGGAAUUAUUGGGCGUAAAGAGCUCGUAGGCGGUUUGUCGCGUCUGCCGUGAAAGUCCGGGGCUCAACUCCGGAUCUGCGGUGGGUACGGGCAGACUAGAGUGAUGUAGGGGAGACUGGAAUUCCUGGUGUAGCGGUGAAAUGCGCAGAUAUCAGGAGAAACACCGAUGGCGAAGGCAGGUCUCUGGGCAUUAACUGACGCUGAGGAGCGAAAGCAUGGGGAGCGAACAGG
rnacentral:rRNA from 1 species